rnacentral:lncRNA from 1 species
UUUUUUUUUUUUUUUUCCUGGAAAACACCAAGUGAGUGACACAAGAAUGGGACCGUGUCUCUCCAGCCCUCAAUUAAAUAUUGGCCGUGUCCCUUCGAGAUCAUUUUUCUUGGUGACAUGUUAAACAAUCUCAGGUCAGUCCGAGUCCUUAAAGGUCACCGUGGGUGUCAGGAAUGCAGCUCCAACCGAUGUACUGGACAAGCGCGUGGAGGCGCCCUUCAGCCCCCUGUGGGCCAGAGCCCUAGCUUGCUGUUAAAGAAACACAGAUUCUGUUUACUUGUUGUCUGUUGGCUCUCCGUUGCUGCCUCUAGACCUCGCACGCAGUUGGAGAUGGGGGGUGGGGUGGGUGCUGUACCGUUGGUGCCCAGAGGAUGCCAUUGAAAAGGGGCGACGUCUUCACACUGCUCUUUGUGGUGCUGGCCUCCCUUCCCGUGGGCAAACGCCGAGGCUGGAGCCCUCCCGGCUGCCCAGUGGCUUUUGUGUGUGUGCAGCUUUCAGCUCCUGUCCAUCAGCCUGAAUGGGCCCAUUCAAGGGCAUUCAUGCGCCGAGGAGACCCCGGCCGCCUGGACACAAUCAGCUGAGAAGGGCACCGCGGGCCCCGCACAUGAGAACGCGCCCACUCUGCCUGUCUCCAGGAGCCCCGAUUGUUCCAUGGAGCCCGGAGCCCGGGAGUGAGCCCAGACGGGCGAUGCUGGACAGCCACUGGGGCUCAUACACGCUGCACUUGGGGGCAGUGGGAGGGAGGGGGAGGAAUACCUUGCUGCGAAGGAGGAAUGUGCAAGCUCGGGCCUGCUGGAGCUUAUCUUUGGCUCUGACCUUCAGCUUUUAUCUUUGUGCACCACCCAUCCGAUUCCCUGCUUCGGGACUGGAGCCCUUCUUUAUCUUCUCAGUCCUGCGUACCCCAGGCACUCAGUAAGUGCUCAUUGAAUGGGGGCACUAAGGUGGGGUCCCUGUGUUUAGGCCCAGGGCGCACUGAUGGUUGAGAUGUGCUGCUCUUUGAAGCGGCAGCGCUGUGCUCUGCGCCUGGGGGUGCGGGCCACCUACUGGAAGAACUGGGCUCACCUCAUAUUUGGAAGGACAGUCGAUUUGAGACCCUGAAGGGACAAAGGACAUUUUCAAGGCGUUCCUGUCGUGACUCAGUUGUUAACGAACCCGACUAGUAUCCAUGAGGAUGCGUGUUCAAUCCCCGGCCUUGCUCAGGGGGUUAAGGAUCCGGUGUUGCCGUGAGCUGUGUAUAGGUCGAAGAUGCAGCUGGAUCUGGCUUUGCUGUGGCUGUGGUGUAGGCCACCAGGUACAGCUCCAACUUGAUCCCUAGCCUGGGAACCUCCAUAUGCUGCGGGUGCGGCCCUAAAAAAG